CAGCAACGCCGCGUGAGGGAAGACGGUUUUCGGAUUGUAAACCUCUGUCUUCGGUGAAGAAAAAAAUGACGGUAGCCGAGGAGGAAGCCACGGCUAACUACGUGCCAGCAGCCGCGGUAAUACGUAGGUGGCGAGCGUUGUCCGGAAUUACUGGGUGUAAAGGGAGCGCAGGCGGGGAAACAAGUCAGCUGUGAAAACUAUGGGCUUAACCCAUAAACUGCAGUUGAAACUGUUUUUCUUGAGUGGAGUAGAGGUAGGCGGAAUUCCGAGUGUAGCGGUGAAAUGCGUAGAUAUUCGGAGGAACACCAGUGGCGAAGGCGGCCUACUGGGCUCUAACUGACGCUGAGGCUCGAAAGUGUGGGGAGCAAACAGGAUUAGAUACCCUGGUAGUCCACACUGUAAACGAUGAUUGCUAGGUGUGGGGGGUCUGACCCCUUCCGUGCCGCAGCUAACGCAAUAAGCAAUCCACCUGGGGAGUACGGCCGCAAGGUUGAAACUCAAAGGAAUUGACGGGGGCCCGCACAAGCAGUGGAUUAUGUGGUUUAAUUCGAAGCAACGCGAAGAACCUUACCAGGUCUUGACAUUUAUGGAACGAGGUAGA
rnacentral:rRNA from 1 species